rfam:Schistosoma rodhaini strain Burundi genome assembly, scaffold: SROB_scaffold0006250
AUCAAGCUGACGAGUCCCAAAUAGGACGAAACGCGCGUCCUGGAU